rnacentral:rRNA from 1 species
UACGUAGGGUGCGAGCGUUAAUCGGAAUUACUGGGCGUAAAGCGUGCGCAGGCGGUGAUGUAAGACAGAUGUGAAAUCCCCGGGCUCAACCUGGGAACUGCAUUUGUGACUGCAUCGCUGGAGUACGGCAGAGGGGGAUGGAAUUCCGCGUGUAGCAGUGAAAUGCGUAGAUAUGCGGAGGAACACCGAUGGCGAAGGCAAUCACCUGGGCCUGUACUGACGCUCAUGCACGAAAGCGUGGGGAGCAAACAGG